UGUUGCUUCGGUAGGCCUGGUCUCUACCUGCUGGGGGGCCGUCACACGCCCGCCGGAGAGUGCCUGCCGACAGCCUAAACCUCAAAAUCUUUAACCAAACGUGUCUUUGUCUGAGUAAACGUCUUUAAUAAAAGCAAAACUUUCAACAACGGAUCUCUUGGUUCUGGCAUCGAUGAAGAACGCAGCGAAAUGCGAUAAGUAAUGCGAAUUGCAGAAUUCUCGUGAGUCAUCGAAUCUUUGAACGCACAUUGCGCCCUUUGGUAUUCCGAAGGGCAUGCCUGUUCGAGCGUCAUUUUCACCCCUCAAGCCCCCGGCUUGGUGUUGGACGGUUUGGUCCAGGGCCCCCCCUGGACCCCUCCCAAAGACAAUGACGGCGGGCUGUUGCACCCCCGGUACACUGAGCAUCUUCACGGAGCACGUACCGGUCUCAAGGGUCGACGGCACCCGGUCUACACCUAUAUCUUUCACAAGGUUGACCUCGGAUCAGGUAGGAAUACCC
rnacentral:rRNA from 1 species